CAGCUAUCGCAUAUGUGGUAGUGCCCAGCACUAUGCGAGAGAGUGCCCGAGGAACCAGAGCCAAAGAAGACCUCCUUUUUAGGACAAGGUUUACAACCUCACCCAGUAGGAUGCCGACGCCGACCCGGAUGUGGUACAGGGUAUGUACACUAUCUGUGACCAUAUUGCUCAUGUUUUAUUUAACACUGGUGCAUCGCAUUCAUUUGUUUCACAUGUUUUUGCAUCAAAACUUAAUGUAUCACCUGAUAAACUUGAUUCAAUGUUGUUUGUGUCUACUAUUGGGGGUGAAACAUUAUUAGGGGAAGUUGUCUACAGGGCUUGUGCCGUAG
rnacentral:lncRNA from 1 species